rnacentral:rRNA from 1 species
CGGAGGGUCCAAGCGUUAUCCGGAAUCAUUGGGUUUAAAGGGUCCGUAGGCGGUUUAAUAAGUCAGUGGUGAAAGCCUAUCGCUUAACGAUAGAACGGCCAUUGAUACUGUUAGACUUGAAUUAGUGGGAAGUAACUAGAAUAUGUAGUGUAGCGGUGAAAUGCUUAGAUAUUACAUGGAAUACCAAUUGCGAAGGCAGGUUACUAUCACUAUAUUGACGCUGAUGGACGAAAGCGUGGGGAGCGAACAGGAUUAGAUACCCUGGUAGUCCACGCCGUAAACGAUGGAUACUAGCUGUUCGGAGCAAUCUGAGUGGCUAAGCGAAAGUGAUAAGUACUCCCACCUGGGGAGUACGUUCGCAAAGAAUGA